rnacentral:rRNA from 1 species
AACGAACGCUGGCGGCAGGCUUAACACAUGCAAGUCGAACGCCCCGCAAGGGGAGUGGCAGACGGGUGAGUAACACGUGGGAACGUGCCCUUCGCUACGGAAUAUUCCCGGGAAACUGGGAGCAAUGCCGUAUACGCCGUAUUGGGAAAGAUUUAUCGGCGAAGGAUCGGCCCGCGUUGGAUUAGGUAGUUGGCGGUGUAAUGGACCACCAAGCCUACGAUCCAUAGCUGGUCUGAGAGGACGACCAGCCACACUGGGACUGAGACACGGCCCAGACUCCUACGGGAGGCAGCAGUGGGGAAUCUUGGACAAUGGGCGCAAGCCUGAUCCAGCCAUGCCGCGUGAGUGAAGAAGGCCUUAGGGUUGUAAAACUCUUUCGCCGGAGAAGAUAAUGACGGUAUCCGGAGAAGAAGCCCCGGCUAACUUCGUGCCAGCAGCCGCAGUAACAC